CUCUACUGCAUCUGGCAGCUGGUUUCCCUGGUGGUCCGGAAAGACUGCAAACAACGAAGAGAAAUCUAUGUUGUUUGGGUGUAAGGAAAUCCCUGCACCUUUGCAUAGAACCUUGAUCUGAAAACUCCCCGUGACUCGGGAUACAAUCAUGAAUCCUGCCUCUGGACCAAGACUGGCUGAAAUACUUGCUUUUUACAACAAAACCUGAACUACACACGUCUGUCUCCACAAUCUGCAAAACUCCAAAUUCUGCCAAAGAAAAUAAGCGAUUUCAAGGUGAGGAUUG
rnacentral:lncRNA from 1 species